rnacentral:rRNA from 1 species
GAUGAACGCUGGCGGCGUGCCUAAUACAUGCAAGUCGAGCGAACAGACGAUGAGCUUGCUCCUCUGACGUUAGCGGCGGACGGGUGAGUAACACGUGGAUAACCUACCUAUAAGACUGGGAUAACUUCGGGAAACCGGAGCUAAUACCGUAUAAUAUAUUGAACCGCAUGGUUCAAUAGUGAAAGACGGUUUUGCUGUCACUUAUCGAUGGAUCCGCGCCGCAUUAGCUAGUUGGUAAGGUAACGGCUUACCAAGGCAACGAUGCGUAGCCGACCUGAGAGGGUGAUCGGCCACACUGGAACUGAGACACGGUCCAGACUACUACGGGAGGCAGCAGUAGGGAAUCUUCCGCAAUGGGCGAAAGCCUGACGGAGCAACGCCGCGUGAGUGAUGAAGGUCUUCGGAUCGUAAAACUCUGUUAUUAGGGAAGAACAAAUGUGUAAGUAACUAUGCACGUCUUGACGGUACCUAAUCAGAAAGCCACGGCUAACUACGUG